CGAAGGCAAAGGCGAACCCAAAGAGGUAGUAGGAGAGACCACCGGCAGCUGCGUCGAGGACAUUAGUGAGCAUGAUGUUCAUAGUGUUUUUGGCACGGACGGAGCCAGCGCAGAGCAUGGCGAAGCCGAGCUGCAUGGCGAAGACAAGGUAGGCGGAGAAGAGGAGGUAGGUGUUGUCGACCGCGUAGGUGGUGGUGCUGAAAGUGGUGGCUAUGGUGGUGAAUCUGGAGCAUAGAAACUCCGCUAUGGCUGUGUUGUUCGCGGUGGUGGAAGACCCGAGAAGGGUUACUAAAUCGGAAGAUUGGCAAGAAAGGGUGGCCAUGGUGAGAUGUUUUUA
rnacentral:lncRNA from 1 species